rnacentral:lncRNA from 1 species
GUGUCCUAAUCUUGUAAGCCAUAUUAAAUAUAAAUCCACCAUGUCUAAACCAGGGGCCACUUGUGAGCUCCAUGUUGUCCUCUAAGCUGUCCUUUUUCCAAAAAGCCCUUAUCUCUCUCCUGCGUCCCUUCUUCCUCUCCCUGACCCAGAAGUCCUGCCUACUCCUUGUCCAGUGAUUGGUCCACUGACAUCUUCAUAAGGGGAAGGUUCUGCCACAAGAUAUAUAUGCAAGUUCUAUUUUUGAAAUCACAUAUAACAUAGUAUAUCACCCAUUGUAAAUAUAGUAGAAAAGCAUUCAAUUGAAUGAUAUAGAGUACUAUUUGUUACAGUGAUGGCUUCAUAUAAUAUAGAACAAUACAAUAUUGUGCCAUUUUGGCCUGUAGGAAAGUGUGAAUAAAUGAUAUAACAAAUAAUAGUCUUUUAUUUUCUAUCCCCUUCCUCCAAAAAGCUGUCUACUAAAGUCAAUUAAAAGACAAAGAAUCAGUAUGGGGCAAUGCACUGUACCAUAGCAGGUCUCAGGGGAUUUUGCCUCUCAUUGAGCAUGCUGCAAGGAGUGGUCACAGCCACUGGGACAGUCCUUUGGGGGGCUCAUUCAACUGUUCUAACAUGGCUUCUUACAUCUCUCUAUUCCUAAUGAAGUGCUCUGAAGCCUUGAAACAAAGACUGUAUUAUUUUUCCUUUCAAUAUCAGCUGGUACCUUUUGUGUAUAAGCAAAAAUAAAUAAUGUUUGUCUACACCUUGGCCCUGGUUUUAUGGUUGAAAUAUUUCCAACUCACUUGAAUUUUAAAAAAUACUUUAUUAAGAAAUAUUAGGAAGAAUACCGUAAUAUGAAAUUGUAGAAUUAUAAAAGGGAAGUCCAUACAGCUAAAUGUUAAGACACUCUAAGGCACAAAGAAAUAAAGUCACUGGUAUUGUACAAGAACAGAGCAUGGCAAUAGAAGUAUGUGAAGUGAUUUACUUGGCUGGCUUCUGUGUGCAAGAAUAAAUUCUAUAAUCUUGCCAAAACCUGAGGGAGCUGUGAGUUGAAUUGCAGUAAAUAAUCGUAUUGGAAAGGUUUGGAUGUGAUAUACUGGAUUCUCCUGCAUUUGUACAAGAAAAUUCCCUGUUGAUGACAGUAUUAGAAGCAUAUGAACUGAAAACUGGUUGACUUUUAAUAUACUUCACAUUGUCUCCUGUGUUCCUAAGUCAUAACUUCUCCACUAGAAUUGGAAGAGAAGGUUGAGCUGUGUGUGAAUAUCUCAAAACUUAACAACAAUCCUUCAGAAUUAAAUAAACUUACACCAAAUAUUUUUCUUGUUGUAAGUGUAUUACAAUUCUUGCUAUUCACAAACCAUUCCUAUUCUCUGAUUAAUAUUAUACAUUUACUCUUGUCUGAAUUAUUUCUUUUGUUUAAUGUUUUAAUGAUACAGGUUUAGUGCAUUAUCUUGUUUUUAAUUUCACAAUAUUGAUUGUGACAAGAGGGAGUAUUAUUUACCCUGUAUGUUCUUU